UGCAAAUGAUGUUUUUCUCACGAUGGUCUUCCAAGCCCGCAGGGUUCUGACGACAGUGCCUUUAGGCAACACUGAUGCCACCUU
ensembl:snoRNA